rnacentral:rRNA from 1 species
GUCUAUGGCCAUGCCACCCUGAAAAAGCCCAAUGUCUGAUCUUGGAAGCUAAGCAGUGUCGGGUCUGGUUAGCACUUGGAUGGGAGACCACCUAGGAAAACCAGGGGCUGUAGGCA